UCGAUGAUGAUCACUAUAAAAAAAUUACGGAACGUUGAAAAAGAUUCAACAUUAAUCAUAAUUAAUGGCUUUUGUCUUUUGUAUUUCAAGUCUUUUUAUUCUGCAUUUUAUGGUCCUUAUAACCUCGUCUUGAAAUACAUGAAAAUUUCUGGGGUAUCGCCCAAUUACUAAGACAACUGCGCUGGAGAAGGACAUAAUAUAUAUAUAUAUCAACUUGUUUUAACUGACAGAAGAGAGCACCCAGCGGCUUCCGAGCGAGACAGCUGGGGAUUUCUUAGAAAGGCCGCAGCGGGAUAUAGACUCUAACACAUUCGAGACCAAAAGAAAAUUCACGGCCGAGGACAGAUUCCACGACAAUUCGUUCACUGACAUUUCGUUCACCGACAAAUCGUUCACGACUUUUCGUUCACGCGACUAUUCGUUCACCAGACAUUUCGUUCACCCGACAAUGGACCUCAUUCACCAAUCGUAAACAAACACCCCUCAAGUCACGUGACAACCAUCAGUUUAAUCUAGACACCAACAUGGAAUCUAUUGUUGGAAAACCACUCUUGCUUGUAAAUUUUACUUUUGUUAACUUGUUAGAAUAUUGCGAUGUUAUAAAUGCAGCAUAUGCAUGUGAAAAUGAUUACAGACACGUAAUUUAAUUACAAUGUUACUGGAGUGAUUAGCUACAAUGGAAAGGUCAUUGAAGGAGAGUGUCAGUGUGCAGGGGGUUGCAAGCCCGCCUGUUGUAAACAUCUUUUUGGUCUUCUGUCUGCUCUAGAAGACUAUAGCAAAAAAGAAAUGUAUGCAGCACCAACAGACAAAAUUCAGACAUGGCAUCAACCUGCACCUAAAGCCUCAGAAAACGAAGGAUAGUUUUAGCUGUGAUAAGACUGGUCUACAAAAUUUUGAUACCAGUGUUUCAAUGUCUGCUUUGGCUGCCUUACCUCAGAACACUCCUAUAUUUUCAGUUCUACAAGCCGA